CCUACGGGGGACUGCAGUGAGGAAUAUUGGUCAAUGGACGAGAGUCUGAACCAGCCAAGUAGCGUGAAGGAUGACUGCCCUAUGGGUUGUAAACUUCUUUUAUAUGGGAAUAAAAUGUUCCACGUGUGGGUUUUUGUAUGUACCAUAUGAAUAAGGAUCGGCUAACUCCGUGCCAGCAGCCGCGGUAAUACGGAGGAUCCGAGCGUUAUCCGGAUUUAUUGGGUUUAAAGGGAGCGUAGGUGGAUUGUUAAGUCAGUUGUGAAAGUUUGCGGCUCAACCAUAAAAUUGCAGUUGAAACUGGCAGUCUUGAGUACAGUAGAGGUGGGCGGAAUGCGUGGUGUAGCGGUGAAAUGCUUAGAUAUCACGAAGAACUCCGAUUGCGAAGGCAGCUCACUGGACUGCAACUGACACUGAGGCUCGAAAGUGUGGGUAUCAAACAGGAUUAGAUACCCCGGUAGUC
rnacentral:rRNA from 1 species